CUCUGUCGCCCAGGCUGGAGUGCAGUGGCACGAUCGAUCAGUGCUCCCUGCAGCCUCCACCUCCCUGGCUCAGGCAUGGUGGCACAUGCCUAUAAUCCCGGCUACUCGGGAGGCUGAGGCACGAGAAUCACUUGAGCCUGGAAGGCAGAGGUUGCAAUGAGCCGAGAUCAUGCCACUGCACUCCAGCCUGGGCAAGAGAGCGAGACUCCCUCGAAAAAAAAAAAAAAACUUGCUUACUUGUGUGACAUAUUCAAUCUGUCACCUCAGGGGAGAACAAAACUGUGUUCAAGUUGGCAGAUAGAGUGGCUGCAUUCAAAGCCAGACUAGUAUUAUGGGGGCCACAAGUGAACAUUGGGAUUUUUUGACAUGUUUCAAACAUUAGCAGAGAUUUUAAAAGAGACUGAGCCAGGACCUUUUUUCUCCCAGCUGGCACAUGAUCACCUAUCUCAGCCUUCAAAGAGUUUGAGUAUUAUUUUCCAGCCACGAAAGAGCCCCGAACUGGGAAGGAAUGGAUUCACAACCCAUUUGUGAAUAAGCCAGGUGAAUCGACUUUGUUCAUGCUAGAAGAGGAUCAGCUGCUUAAGAUCACAAAUGAUGUUGCCCUUAAAAGUAUGUUUGAGACAACUUCACAUCUCCAUACAUUCUGGAUUAAAGACAAAGUGGAACAUCCUGAGAUUGCCACGAAAGCACUGGAAAGCCUGCUUCCAUUUCCAACCUCCUGUCUUUGUGAAACAGGGUUUUCUGUAGUGACAGCAGCCAAACAAGAUUACAGAGUAGACUGGACAUAAGCAACACACUUAGGGUGUCACUGUCUCCCAUCACCCCUAGAUGGGACCGUCUAGUUGCAGGGAAAACAAGCUCAGGGCUCCCACUGCUUCUACAUUAUGGUGAGUUGUACAAUUAUUUCAUUAUAUAUUACGAUGUGAUAAUAAUAAAGUACACAAUAAAUGUAAUACACUUGAAUCAUCUCAAAACCACCACCACCCCCCUCCAUGGAAA
rnacentral:lncRNA from 1 species